rnacentral:rRNA from 1 species
UGGGGAAUUUUGGACAAUGGGCGAAAGCCUGAUCCAGCAAUGCCGCGUGUGUGAAGAAGGCCUUCGGGUUGUAAAGCACUUUUGUCCGGAAAGAAAUCCUUGGCUCUAAUACAGUCGGGGGGAUGACGGUACCGGAAGAAUAAGCACCGGCUAACUACGUGCCAGCAGCCGCGGUAAUACGUAGGGUGCAAGCGUUAAUCGGAAUUACUGGGCGUAAAGCGUGCGCAGGCGGUUUGCUAAGACCGAUGUGAAAUCCCCGGGCUCAACCUGGGAACUGCAUUGGUGACUGGCAGGCUAGAGUAUGGCAGAGGGGGGUAGAAUUCCACGUGUAGCAGUGAAAUGCGUAGAGAUGUGGAGGAAUACCGAUGGCGAAGGCAGCCCCCUGGGCCAAUACUGACGCUCAUGCACGAAAGCGUGGGGAGCAAAACAGGAUUAGAUACCCUGGUAGUCCACGCCCUAAACGAUGUCAACUAGUUGUUGGGGAUUCAUUUCCUUAGUAACGUAGCUAACGCGUGAAGUUGACCGCCUGGGGAGUACGGUCGCAAGAUUAAAACUCAAAUGAAUUGACGGGGUCAUAGCUGUUUCCU